CCAGGUUCCAACGUUAUAUUUAGUCACACCUUCCUCUCUCUCGUCGGCUUCGAUUUCUUUCCCUCCCUCCUUCCGUUCUUCCCCUUCUCUUCUUCGUCUUUCCCUGCGACGAAGCCAAGAAAGACCCGGAGAAAUCUCUCGAUCCAUCUCGGAUGGUAAUGGCAGCGGCGGCGGCGGAGGAGAUCCACCAGAGGCCUGACGAGCCCGCGGCAGCGAAGCUGGAGUCUCCAUCUCCGUCUCCUUCUCGCAGUCUCUCCCAAUCCCGCCUCCAUAAUUUCUCCUUCCCGACCCUCAGCUGGGGGAACCAGCGGCUCCUCCGGUGCAUGAAGCUUCCCGCCGGAGCCAAUGGCGAGAUUGCCGGGUCGCUGGCGAUCGCGAACCGGGAAGAGCCGCGGGUGAUGAGGAAGCGGUCCUCUCCCCUUUCGUCUUCGCCCGAGAUGGAGGGAUCGAAGCGGAAUCCACCUCGGAUCCAGGACCCCAAGGACAGGGAGGCGGGAGGGGGAGAGAAGACGGAGGAGUCCUCUCCGGCGGCGGCGAGGCCUUGGAAUCUGAGGUCGCGGAGGGGGGCCUGCGUCGCUUCGGUGGAGAUCGGGCGAGGACGGAACAAUUUCUCUUCUUCUUGCUCGCCUUCUCCCGUGCAGCUGGAGAGGAGUGGCCUGGUGAAAUCGCUCGGACCGAGAUCAGAGGUUUUGGAGAAGGGUGAGAGGCAGAAGUUCUCGAUUUCGCUCACUCGUGAGGAGGUUGAAGAGGAUUUCCUCGUGAUGAAGGGGAAGAAGCCCCCUCGGAGGCCCAAAAAGAGGGCCAAGAUCGUGCAGAAGCAACUUGAUUCAAUUUUCCCUGGCUUGUGGUUGUCCGAGAUAACACCAGACUUAUACAAAGUUGAUGCUUAAGAGCUAAGAGGGCAAUAUUGCUUAAUGGCGAGUUUUUAUUGCAAGAGAGUUCUCAGGGAUUGCAGAUGCUGACUAUACAUUUCCAAUUAUCUGUGCUCCUCUCAUAGUGGAAACAGCGCAAUGAAAUAAAAAAAGGUCUCCUGAGAUUGAUCACCCCUGUAACAAGUUGCAAACUCCUGGUGUUUCUGUAACCAUAAUCACAUAUUUCCAAGUAACAAAAAGGGUCUCAACUUUGGUGGGAUGCUGUUUAUAUGAACCAAAGCAGGAAGAUAUGAAAUGCAGUGAACUUGUUCUGAAGUAAACCAGAAGUAAAGCUAUGAUUGCUCACAUGUUUGUGCUUGUAGAAUGAACUGGUUCAUGAUGAAAGUGAAGCCCCAAUCAGCUGUAUGUGGUGAACCUCUGGUAUAAGCAAUUAAAGCCAACUUUCUAAUGUUCCCCUGGAUUGACAUAUCUGUGCAAACCGUAUUAUCAUUGAAAUCCUAUGAUGUAUCAUACCAUGAAAUUCUAUUCAAUAUAUUCUGCAAUUUUUUCAUGAUAAAA